rnacentral:tRNA from 1 species
UUAAUUGAAACCAAAAUAGAGGUAUAUUACUGUUAAUAAUACUAAUGAGAAUUUCUCCAAUUAAA